rnacentral:rRNA from 1 species
GUGGGGAAUAUUGCGCAAUGGGCGAAAGCCUGACGCAGCAACGCCGCGUGAGGGAUGAAGGCCUUAGGGUCGUAAACCUCUGUCAAAUGGGAAGAAUUAUGACGGUACCAUUAAAGGAAGCCCCGGCUAACUCCGUGCCAGCAGCCGCGGUAAUACGGAGGGGGCAAGCGUUGUUCGGAAUUAUUGGGCGUAAAGCGUAUGUAGGCGGUUAAACAAGUCAGGUGUGUAAGCCCACGGCUCAACCGUGGAAUUGCAUUUGAAACUGUUUGACUUGAGUUCAGGAGAGGAAAGUGGAAUUCCCAGUGUAGCGGUGAAAUGCAUUGAUAUUGGGAAGAACAUCGGUGGCGAAGGCGGCUUUCUGGCCUGACACUGACGCUGAGAUACGAAAGCCAGGGGAGCGAACGGG